rnacentral:lncRNA from 1 species
UUUUCCUUUGAUUCCAUCUUGGUGUUGCAGGAGGCUACUGAUACCUUGACCUUUUGUUUCUUGGAGUACCCAGUGGAAAUAAUGGACUAAUAAGAUCCAGGAAGAGUCAGCUGAUGGUUGCAAAGACCUCAGUCUCCCACUGAGAAAAAGAAAUAUCUUUGUGAUUCACAUGAGUUGCCAGCAAAUUUCAUGAAACGCAGUGACAUUUUA